rnacentral:rRNA from 1 species
GUGAGGAAUAUUGGACAAUGGGCGCAAGCCUGAUCCAGCCAUGCCGCGUGCAGGAAGACGCAUCUAUGGUGUGUAAACUGCUUUUGUACGGGAAGAAACACUCCCUCGUGAGGGAGCUUGACGGUACCGUAAGAAUAAGGAUCGGCUAACUCCGUGCCAGCAGCCGCGGUAAUACGGAGGAUCCAAGCGUUAUCCGGAAUCAUUGGGUUUAAAGGGUCCGUAGGCGGUUUAAUAAGUCAGUGGUGAAAGCCCAUCGCUCAACGAUGGAACGGCCAUUGAUACUGUUAGCCUUGAAUUACAAGGAAGUAACUAGAAUAUGUAGUGUAGCGGUGAAAUGCUUAGAUAUUACAUGGAAUACCAAUUGCGAAGGCAGGUUACUACUUGUGGAUUGACGCUGAUGGACGAAAGCGUGGGGAGCGAACGGGAUUAGAUACCCCGGUAGUCC